rnacentral:rRNA from 1 species
UUUUUAAGAUAUAUGUGGUACAGGAUUAGAUACCCCAUUAAUGUAUUUUGUAUUUAAUAUCUUAGUUUAAUAACUAAAAUGGUUUGGCAGUGAGUGAUUCUUUUUAGGGGAAGGUGUGGUGUAAAGGAUGUUCCGCCUAUUAUUUUACUUUUAUUAUGUUGGUGUAUAUCUGAUUUAAUAUUAUUGCUUAAUGGUUAAAGUUUGUGUAUAUUUAUUUAAGUCAAGUCUAUGUGCUGCUUAUAAAAGUAUUCAUGCGUUACUUUAAUAAUAUGUUAGAUGAAAUAUUAAUUGAUUUAGGACUUAAUAGUAAUGUUUAAUUAGUUUGUAAAUGUGAAUAUAGUUUAGCUCAGGUACACACCGCCCGUCACCCUCGGUUA